GUGCUCGCUUCGGCAGCACAUAUACUAAAAAAUUGGAACCAUACAGAGAAGAUUAGCAUGGCUCCUGCGCAAGGAUGACACACAAAUUCGUGAAGCGUUCCACAUUUUG
rnacentral:snRNA from 1 species